rnacentral:rRNA from 1 species
AUGAACGCUGGCGGCGUGCCUAAUACAUGCAGGUCGCGCGAACGGACGAGAAGCUUGCUUCUCUGAUGUUAGCGGCGGACGGGUGAGUAACACGUGGAUAACCUACCUAUAAGACUGGGAUAACUUCGGGAAACCGGAGCUAAUACCGGAUAAUAUUUUGAACCGCAUGGUUCAAAAGUGAAAGACGGUCUUGCUGUCACUUAUAGAUGGAUCCGCGCUGCAUUAGCUAGUUGGUAAGGUAACGGCUUACCAAGGCAACGAUGCAUAGCCGACCUGAGAGGGUGAUCGGCCACACUGGAACUGAGACACGGUCCAGACUCCUACGGGAGGCAGCAGUAGGGAAUCUUCCGCAAUGGGCGAAAGCCUGACGGAGCAACGCCGCGUGAGUGAUGAAGGUCUUCGGAUCGUAAAACUCUGUUAUUAGGGAAGAACAUAUGUGUAAGUAACUGUGCACAUCUUGACGGUACCUAAUCAGAAAGUCACGGCUAACUACGUG